rnacentral:rRNA from 1 species
AUUGAACGCUGGCGGCAGGCCUAACACAUGCAAGUCGAGCGGAUAAAGGGAGCUUGCUCCUGGAUUCAGCGGCGGACGGGUGAGUAAUGCCUAGGAAUCUGCCUGGUAGUGGGGGAUAACGUCCGGAAACGGGCGCUAAUACCGCAUACGUCCUGAGGGAGAAAGUGGGGGAUCUUCGGACCUCACGCUAUCAGAUGAGCCUAGGUCGGAUUAGCUAGUUGGUGGGGUAAAGGCCUACCAAGGCGACGAUCCGUAACUGGUCUGAGAGGAUGAUCAGUCACACUGGAACUGAGACACGGUCCAGACUCCUACGGGAGGCAGUAGUGGGGAAUAUUGGACAAUGGGCGAAAGCCUGAUCCAGCCAUGCCGCGUGUGUGAAGAAGGUCUUCGGAUUGUAAAGCACUUUAAGUUGGGAGGAAGGGCAGUAAGUUAAUACCUUGCUGUUUUGACGUUACCAACAGAAUAAGCACCGGCUAACUUCGUG